CAAUACUCUACUACAUCGAUUAAC
rnacentral:siRNA from 1 species